CCUACGGGAGGCAGCAGUCGAGAAUUUUUCACAAUGGGGGAAACCCUGAUGGAGCGACGCCGCGUGGAGGAUGAAGGUCUUCGGAUUGUAAACUCCUGUCACUACAGAACAAGAAUAGAAAUAUGAAUAACAUCUCUAUUUGAUGGUAUGUGGAGAGGAAGGAACGGCUAACUCUGUGCCAGCAGCCGCGGUAAU
rnacentral:rRNA from 1 species